GGACUACCGGGGUAUCUAAUCCUGUUUGCUCCCCACGCUCUCGCGCCUCAGCGUCAGUAUUUGUCCAGGCAGCCGCCUUCGCCACCGGUGUUCCUUCCGAUCUCUACGCAUUUCACCGCUACACCGGAAAUUCCACUGCCCUCUACAAUACUCAAGCUCUACAGUCAUCGUUGCAGUUCCUAGGUUAAGCCCAGGGAUUUCACAACAAUCUUAUACAACCGCCUACGCGCCCUUUACGCCCAGUAAUUCCGAUUAACGCUCGCACCCUCUGUAUUACCGCGGCUGCUGGCAC
rnacentral:rRNA from 1 species